GACGAACGCUGGCGGCGUGCUUAACACAUGCAAGUCGAACGCUGAAGCUCAGCUUUUGUUGGGUGGAUGAGUGGCGAACGGGUGAGUAACACGUGAGUAACCUGCCUCCUUCUUUGGGAUAACGCCCGGAAACGGGUGCUAAUACUGGAUAUUCACUGGUCUUCGCAUGGGGGUUGGUGGAAAGGGUUUUUCUGGUGGGGGAUGGGCUCGCGGCCUAUCAGCUUGUUGGUGGGGUGAUGGCCUACCAAGGCUUUGACGGGUAGCCGGCCUGAGAGGGUGACCGGUCACAUUGGGACUGAGAUACGGCCCAGACUCCUACGGGAGGCAGCAGUGGGGAAUAUUGCACAAUGGGCGCAAGCCUGAUGCAGCGACGCCGCGUGAGGGAUGGAGGCCUUCGGGUUGUGAACCUCUUUCGCUCAUGGUCAAGCCGCAACAAUGGUUGUGGUGAGGGUAGUGGGUAAAGAGCGCCGGCUAACUACGUG
rnacentral:rRNA from 1 species